ncrna:Hungatella hathewayi 12489931 S10-Clostridia ribosomal protein leader
UGAUAGCUGUGAAGCGUGAGGUUGCUGCCCAAGAGGCAGGUUUUCCGUGGAGCGAAUGUCAAGUUAGGAAACUGGCGACAA